GUGCCAGCAGCCGCGGUAAUACCGGCAGCCCGAGUGAUGGCCGAUCUUAUUGGGCCUAAAGCGUCCGUAGCUGGCCGGACAAGUCCGUUGGGAAAUCCACCCGCUUAACGGGUGGGCGUCCAGCGGAAACUGUCCGGCUUGGAGCCGGAAGACCUGAAGGGUACGUCCGGGGUAGGAGUGAAAUCCUGUAAUCCUGGACGGACCGCCGGUGGCGAAAGCGCCUCGGGAAGACGGACUCGACAGUGAGGGACGAAAGCUGGGAUCUCGAACCGGAUUAGAUACCCUAGUAGUCC
rnacentral:rRNA from 1 species